GUGUGAUGGAGCCUUUUCCACGUAAAGGGGCCGUGUGGGUGGCCUUCAGGAACGGGCCGAGGGGUUGCCGUGAGUUGGGGAUGUCGGGAGGAGGAGCGAGGGUCCCUUUGAGUUUCAGCAAUGCAGCAUCACUUUGUCUUCUCUUAACUCAGGCGCGCCCUGCGACGACGGCGUCCGGCUCCCGGCGUGGCCGAAGCGCGUGGCCUCAGGACGUGGCCGUUCACAGGAGACCCUGACCCAGAAGACAGCAGCCUGGCGAUGGCAGGAACUUCCCAGAUGGCGAGGCGGCCUUCCUUGGCGCUCCAUGUGGAUCCACCCUGCCGAGCAUCCGAGAGCUGUGUCGGAGGCUGCGAAUUGCAGAGGGGCUGAAAUCGGGGUGCCGGGUCGGGACUCUGGACCUGGGAUAUUUGAGUCAGGUUUGGGGAUGGGGAGGUCCAGGCUGUGGUCCCUUAGGCCACGUGAAGGGAGAGCCUCACUUUUGUUCACAGUGCUGAGGUGUGCAGGACAGAGCAGUCCCGGGGCGUGUUGUAUCACUUGUCCGUCGUGCCUUCUGUGUCUUUUGUGCCUCUUGUGUUGUACGUGCCUCGCCUUAUCUCUUCUGGGGGCUUACCAGAAACCCCGGCGUCACUCCUCGCAUCUCUGAUCUCUGGGCUCCUCAGCCCGACACCAUCGAAGCUUUGCCUCAGGAUCUCUGAGGCCUUGGAAUCGCGUCUCUCUUUUAAAAGCAUCCGAUCGGAUGUCUUUUAGAGGUCUUGUUCCGAGCUGUGUCAACAGCCGUGCGCCGCGAGGAUCCAUUGUUGCGGCUUAGGUCUUGAAGAAACGCAGAGAUAGGUAGGGGGCUGUGGCCCUCAGAUUCUCGGGCAUCCCUCUUGGCAGUUGCUGGAGUUUGUCAUUCCAUCAGCAUCUUCUUCCUCCCGGGUUCUGCGAGCUUCAUCAGCUCGCCUUCAUUCUCACCCGGCUCAUCUCGUUCCGCGUUCUCUCGGUCCUUGCGGCCGUUCUUGUGGCCCAGAGUUUUGUCUCCCCGUUGUGUCCCCUCGUCUGUUGUCUUGUGUGUCACGGGUGUCUGGGUGUAGUUGUCCCGGAGCUGCUCUGUCCUGCUGCCCAGCCUGGGUGUAGGUGUAAAAGGCCAAGUCCCAGGCCCCUGUAAUUUGAAAUUUGUGAUGUAGGGUGUAGUUGGAGUCUAGCGGGUGUUCCUAGAUGGACACAAGAUGUCAGGAGCUGUGAACUUAUCCUGCAGCACUUUGACUUUUGUCUCAGCUUUCUAAGUAUUUAAUGAUUUGCUGCCCAAUGUCCGGUUCAAAAGAGUAAGGAAAACCUGUACUGAUUACGUUAUAUUGGCACUUCUGUGUGUUGGGAUAUAGGACUUUGUAGUGGUGUUCCUUAAGUUCAUGUCUCUCAGUGUUGAGCCCAUCAUGUAGUUCUAGUCUCUGAGCUUUUUUUCAAGUUUUAAUGCCUUUCUUGUUCCAAAGUUUAUUUUCUUAUCCAAAAAUAACUCCAAUAUUGUCCUUAAUACAUAACUUUCACAGUAAAAGGGCAAAGAUUAAAAUAGCUGUUAUGCUAAGCUCAGUAAUAAUGAUUGAUAAAACCUUUUUGAAAGUA